UCACUACAAGAAAAGUGGUCUGUAACGGCGCUUGAAUCAAGACGUUUUAAAAAACGUUGUGGUAUACUGAAUAGUCAACACGUUUUUCAAGGCGUCAUGCUCGCCGUAUUUAACUUAAUAGACAUUAAACCCCAUUCCAAUUACAAAAUAACACAAAAUCUCUCUCAUACACGGCUCUUCUUCAUCGAACUCGAUCUCUCUCUCUCUCUCUCUCUCUCUCACAAAUCGCAGAUCCGAACUCGAUCUGAUCUCUCUUGCAUUUUGUUAGAUCUAUUCUUGCUCUAGCUUUUCUUCAUCGAACUCAAACUCGAUCUCUCUCGCAAAUUGCAGAUCCGAAAUCGAACAAGAAAGUCUAUCAAUUUAAUUGGUGUUUGAUUUCUUUGUAGGUGGCGAUGAAAUGUAGAGAUCAGUUACAUGAACUUGUAAAGGAAGAGAUUGAGAAGAGGGAUUCGAGUACGGAGGAGUGGAAGAUCGCGAUGGAGAGAAGCUUCAAUCGCAUGGACAAUGAGGUGAUUGCAAGGAACGACAGCGUUCUGCGCACCGAGAAAUAUCGAUCCGUUGUUGAAGGAUCUGAGUGAGAAGAAGCAGAGCUUCCGGCGGAACGUGGUGUCACUGGCGGUGGAGCACAAGGAGGUCCGAAGCCGUCUCGCUUCACAGGCAGAGGCCAAAGCUAAGAAGAUGGAGGAUGAGAUGUAUAGAUUACAGGAGAGCUUAGAGGAGAGAAAUUGCAGCUUCAAGCAUCAACAUCUACUGCUGGGAAGGUCACCAUGGAUAGAAGUUUUGUAAUUAGCUUCCUAGAAAUGGAGAAUUUUGAACUUCUUUGAAGGUAUUGAUUGGUGUGUGCUUAGGUGUAAUUUGAUAAUGGUGGGUGACAUUACGUGUGCUUCUAGGAAAAGGAGUUGGGGAAAAAAAAACAUUUGUUUGCAACCAUAUGGUUCUGAUCUUACUCCUUAGGCUUGUCAUAGAAUUAUGACAAUGGUACUCCGUUAUUAUGGUGGUGAAUAUGAUCUUGAUAGAUAUGGUGGAGUAUUGUAAUUGUGCUUUCCUUAUUAAACUAGUUGUAAUUUUCAAUAAUU